rnacentral:rRNA from 1 species
CCUACGGGGGGCAGCAGUGAGGGAUAUUGGUCAAUGGGGGCAACCCUGAACCAGCAACGCCGCGUGAGGGAAGACGGUUUUCGGAUUGUAAACCUCUGUCCUCUGUGAAGAUAAUGACGGUAGCAGAGGAGGAAGCUCCGGCUAACUACGUGCCAGCAGCCGCGGUAAUACGUAGGGAGCGAGCGUUGUCCGGAUUUACUGGGUGUAAAGGGUGCGUAGGCGGCCCUGCAAGUCAGAAGUGAAAUCCAUGGGCUUAACCCGUGAACUGCUUUUGAAACUGCAGGACUUGAGUGGAGUAGAGGUAGGCGGAAUUCCCGGUGUAGCGGUGAAAUGCGUAGAGAUCGGGAGGAACACCAGUGGCGAAGGCGGCCUACUGGGCUUUAACUGACGCUGAAGCACGAAAGCGUGGGUAGCAAACAGGAUUAGAUACCCGUGUAG